GACGAACGCUGGCGGCGUGCUUAACACAUGCAAGUCGAACGGAAAGGCCCUGCUUUUGUGGGGUGCUCGAGUGGCGAACGGGUGAGUACACGUGAGUAACCUGCCCUUGACUUUGGGAUAACUUCAGGAAACUGGGGCUAAUACCGGAUAGGAGCUCCUGCUGCAUGGUGGGGGUUGGAAAGUUUCGGCGGUUGGGGAUGGACUCGCGGCUUAUCAGCUUGUUGGUGGGGUAGUGGCUUACCAAGGCUUUGACGGGUAGCCGGCCUGAGAGGGUGACCAGCCACAUUGGGACUGAGAUACGGCCCAGACUCCUACGGGAGGCAGCAGUGGGGAAUAUUGCACAAUGGGCGGAAGCCUGAUGCAGCAACGCCGCGUGCGGGAUGACGGCCUUCGGGUUGUAAACCGCUUUCGCCUGUGACGAAGCGUGAGUGACGGUAAUGGGUAAAGAAGCACCGGCUAACUACGUG
rnacentral:rRNA from 1 species